AUCUUUAUUCUACUGACAUCAAAGGCGGAUCUUACAUCUCAUGCCGAAAGAAUCUGAUGUAUGUCUCCAUUCUUGCCACAUAGAAGAACCUGAAUUUAGAAGCUCAGUAUUACAUCUGGGUCUUGACAGGAUGCCUUGUUACACAGAGGCUUUCGCAGACUCCUGUGUAACCCCUGUAAAGUAAGUGCCAUUGGAUAUUUCACAAGAAGGGAGGUUUGUUUUUCUAUCCUUCCACACUUCCUUUUAAACAAAGCCAUUAAUUACCCAGGAGCAUCAGCAACUUAUGAAAAGGUGAAACACUUUUCAUUUAAUUGUUGAAAAGUCACUGUAUUGUUACUAGUGUUUUACGAUUUAUGACUCCAACCUGACUCCAACAGACCGUAACAAGAGGCCUACUCUUUUUGGUUUGAGUCUAUAGCAUUUCACACAUUAUCGACAAAUAUUAUGCAGUAAAGAUCCACACAUAAGAAGGAUGAGUCAUUAUGCUUUUUCAUCAGCAGGUUUCAGAGGAAUGGAGCUUUAACGUGAAUAGCCAAUAUUUGUUCCUGUCACAAAAUCUUAAAAGUUUGAAGGAACAGGGAGUGAAGAGCUUUAGAAACUGCACCCAAGAAGAUAACGGGACUUUUCAGACAAUGAGGACUUCCCAUGUCUGAGGCCCAGGAGGAAAAUCACACAGUGCCUUCUCAAUGGAGAAUCCUCGGGACAGCAGCAGAUGGAUCUAAUAAUGUAAUA